AUCGAACGCUGGCGGCAGGCUUAACACAUGCAAGUCGAACGAGUGGCGGACGGGUGAGUAAUGUCUGGGAAACUGCCUGUUGGAGGGGGAUAACUACUGGAAACGGUAGCUAAUACCGCAUACUAUCGGAUGUGCCCAGAUGGGAUUAGCUAGUAGGUGGGGUAAGGGCUCACUUAGGCGACGAUCCCUAGCUGGUCUGAGAGGAUGACCAGCCAAACGGGAACUGGGACACGGUCCAGACUCCGACGGGAGGCAGCGGUGGGGAAUAUUGCACAAUGGGCGAAAGCCGGAUGCCGCCAUGCCGCGUGGAUGAAGAGGGCCUUCGGGUUGUAAAGUACUUUCAGCGGGAAGGCGUUACCCGCAGAAGAAGCACCGGCUAACUCCGUGCCAGCAGCCGCGGUAAUUC
rnacentral:rRNA from 1 species